rnacentral:rRNA from 1 species
AUUGAACGCUGGCGGCAGGCAUAACACAUGCAAGUCGAACGAGUGGCGGACGGGUGAGUAAUGUCUGGGAAACUGCCUGAUGGAGGGGGAUAACUACUGGAAACGGUAGCUAAUACCGCAUACCAUCGGAUGUGCCAAGAUGGGAUUAGCUAGUAGGUGGGGUAAAGGCUCACCUAGGCGACGGUCCCUAGCUGGUCUGAGAGGCUGACCACCCACACUUGAACUGAGACACGGUCCAGACUCCUACGGGAUGCAGCAGUGGGGAAUAUGUCACAAUGGGCUCAAGCCUGAUGCAGCCAUGCCGCGUGUAUGAAGAAGGCCUUCGCGUUUUAAAGUACUUUCAGCGGGGAGGCGUUACCCGCAGAAGAAGCACCGGCUAACGCCGUGCCAGCAGCCGCGGUAAUAC